UCCAGCUCAUCGCCGGCAGUCUCUGCUGAGUGCUUGGCAGCUUACGCCACCAGUGGCAACAGCGGACGUGGGUUGCGCUCGUUGCGGGACUUAACCCAACACUUCACAGCACGAGCUGACGACAGCCAUGCACCACCUGUGAUCGAGUCCCGAAGGAGGGCCGUAUUUCUACGGCUUUCCCGACCAUGUCAAGCCUUGGUAAGGUUCUUCGCGUCGCGUCGAAUUAAACCACAUGCUCCGCUGCUUGUGCGGGCCCCCGUCAAUUCCUUUGAGUUUCAACCUUGCGGCCGUACUCCCCAGGCGGCACAUUUAAUGCGUUUGCGUCGACACGGAGGGGGUCGAUACCCCCCACGUCUAAUGUGCAUCGUUUACGGCUAGGACUAC
rnacentral:misc_RNA from 1 species